GACGAACGCUGGCGGCGUGCUUAACACAUGCAAGUCGAACGGAAAGGCCCUGCUUUUGUGGGGUGCUCGAGUGGCGAACGGGUGAGUAACACGUGAGUAACCUGCCCUUGACUUUGGGAUAACUUCAGGAAACGGUGGCUAAUACCGGAUAGGAGCUCCUGCUGCAUGGUGGGGGGUGGAAAGUUUCGGCGGUUGGGGAUGGACUCGCGGCUUAUCAGCUUGUUGGUGGGGUAGUGGCUUACCAAGGCUUUGACGGGUAGCCGGCCUGAGAGGGUGACCGGCCACAUUGGGACUGAGAUACGGCCCAGACUCCUACGGGAGGCAGCAGUGGGGAAUAUUGCACAAUGGGCGGAAGCCUGAUGCAGCAACGCCGCGUGCGGGAUGACGGCCUUCGGGUUGUAAACCGCUUUCGCCUGUGACGAAGCGUGAGUGACGGUAAUGGGUAAAGAAGCACCGGCUAACUACGUG
rnacentral:rRNA from 1 species